CCUUGUGUCAAACACAAAUGAUUUGGAUCGUACACAUAUAUUGUCGUGUCAGCAAAAAUGAUCUCCAGCGUAACAUAGUGCCUAUUGAUGCACGCUGAAAUGUACAUACGUGUACAACCCUUCCAUGAUUCCCCCUCGACACUCGGUGACAUUUCUAUGACCCACUCGAGCAUAUAUUCUGGCACCGUGUACUCGUUAUCCAUAAGUUGGAGCGACUAAUACUCUAUGGUAACUGCACGCAGGAACUUGGUGCUUAAUAUGACUCGACCAUGGACGUCAAAUGAUUUUGGAUGUCUUUGA
rnacentral:lncRNA from 1 species